rnacentral:rRNA from 1 species
CAAUAGCGUAUAUUGAAGUUGUUGCAGUUAAAAAGCUCGUAGUUGGAUUUCUGGUGGGAGCGAUCGGUCUGGCGCUUAGCGCGAGUACUUGCAUCGUCUCCGGCCAUCCUUGGGGAGAGUCUGUCUGGCAUUAGGUUGUCGGGCAGAGGAUCCUCAUCGUUUACUGUGAAAAAAUUAGAGUGUUCAAAGCAGGCUUAUGCCGUUGAAUAUAUUAGCAUGGAAUAAUAAGAUAGGACUUUGGUACUAUUUUGUUGGUUUGCGCACCAAAGUAAUGAUUAAUAGGGACAGUUGGGGGUAUUCGUAUUCCGUUGUCAGAGGUGAAAUUCUUGGAUUUACGGAAGACGAACUACUGCGAAAGCAUUUACCAAGGAUGUUUUCAUUAA